rnacentral:rRNA from 1 species
GAUGAACGCUGGCGGCGUGCCUAAUACAUGCAAGUCGAGCGAACGGACGAGAAGCUUGCUUCUCUGAUGUUAGCGGCGGACGGGUGAGUAACACGUGGAUAACCUACCUAUAAGACUGGGAUAACUUCGGGAAACCGUAGCUAAUACCGGAUAAUAUUUUGAACCGCAUGGUUCAAAAGUGAAAGACGGUCUUGCUGUCACUUAUAGAUGGAUCCGCGCUGCAUUAGCUAGUUGGUAAGGUAACGGCUUACCAAGGCAACGAUGCAUAGCCGACCUGAGAGGGUUAUCGGCCAAACCGGAACUGAGACACGGUCCAGACUCCUACGGGAGGCAGCAGUAGGGAAUCUUCCGCAAUGGGCGAAAGCCUGACGGAGCAACGCCGCGUGAGUGAUGAAGGUCUUCGGAUCGUAAAACUCUGUUAUUAGGGAAGAACAUAUGUGUAAGUAACUGUGCACAUCUUGACGGUACCUAAUCAGAAAGCCACGGCUAACUACGUG